rnacentral:rRNA from 1 species
GACGAACGCUGGCGGCGUGCUUAACACAUGCAAGUCGAGCGGUAAGGCCCUUUCGGGGGUACACGAGCGGCGAACGGGUGAGUAACACGUGGGUGACCUGCCCUCAGCUCUGGGAUAAGCCCGGGAAACUGGGUCUAAUACCGGAUAUGACUCCAUGACGCAUGUUGUGGGGUGGAAAGCCUUGUGCGGCUGAGGAUGGGCCCGCGGCCUAUCAGCUUGUUGGUGGGGUGAUGGCCUACCAAGGCGACGACGGGUAGCCGGCCUGAGAGGGCGACCGGCCACACUGGGACUGAGACACGGCCCAGACUCCUACGGGAGGCAGCAGUGGGGAAUCUUGCGCAAUGGGCGAAAGCCUGACGCAGCGACGCCGCGUGAGGGAUGACGGCCUGG